UGUAUAUAUUAUUAUUAUAUUAAUUAUUAAUUUUAAUGAUCGAUUAUUCGAAUUAUUCGAGUGAUCUUGGUUUUAUCAUCUUCGAUCGUCCACGACUUUUGUCCAAACGAACGAAACUAACUGAUUUCCCACGAGAUAACCAUGCUGGAAAUUCGACGUAGAUCGAUCGCAAAAGCUCAGAUGCGAUUACAAGCGAAUUCUCGUCGAUUCUUAAUCUUGAAUAAUUCUUUCUUUGGAAAUGUUUGUCCCAUUUAUUUUUUUCAUAGUUUUUUUUGUUUUUCUCCUUUUUCGCUAAAUAUAUCAUUUACUAAUAUCUUUCUUGUAUUUCAUCAAACUAUCCAACAUAGCUAUUCAACGUAUGCAUGAAAUCACAUAUGCCAUACAAAUGCAAAAUGCAUUUUGAAUUGAGCAUUCCAUUACCUGUCAGAAAAUUUGUAAGUACUUACUUAUACUAUUAUAUAUCUCUAUGUUGUUCGAAGUGAACUUCAUCUUGAAAUGUCCGUUAUUUCGUUGCAAAUCAAAUCAGGGAUUUACGCGUGUAUAAAGUAAUUAUCUUCCUAUUUCCCACAACUGUUAAAACUAAUUUGCAUAAAAGCAAAUGCAAAAAAAAUUGACCAAUUUUUCACGCUACUUCCGAAUCUCAUUCAUUAUUUAUUUAUAACUUUGUUUUUAUAACUUAUCAUUUUUAUUUUAUAGGUUAUGUCAUGUUUUAUUUUAGAUUAAUCGAUUAUUAGAAAAAGAGACUAAUUUUAACGAAAACUUUCAAUAAUCAAUUCAAUAUCCUGUAGACUAUUUCGAUUCUAUUCAACCAGAGAAUUGCUAGGAUGUAAUCGUGUGAAUACAUAGUACGAAAUGUUCACGAAAGCUUGGUUAUAUUCGGUAGUUAUCUGAACAUGAACGAUGGAGAGAUUGUUAAGGAGUUGAAGAACGAUACCAAAUUUCCUAUCUUAUGCCAAGCUUAGAAGAUAUUUAGUCGAGUGAAAAUCGUAAUUUGAACUUAUCACGAAAUAUUUAAGACGUUAUAUUAUAAAUAUUAAAUUGCACAAGCUUAUCGACGAGAUCUAAUUCUCAUUAAUAUUCUCGUUGAUUUAUAAUUUAUAAAUAUAUUAACAAAGCGUUUGAUGAUAUAACGACAAAUAGCUUGGCGUUAUAUCUCUAUCGAAUUUAACUCCAUCAUAAUUUAUGACUGGAAGCAAGGAUUCGAGCGAAUGUUUGGAAAGUCAUCGAACUACAAAGUGUCGAUGAUAUGACUAUUUAAAGGAUACGUGAGAUAAUUUAAUAAUGGCAUUCAAUUGUUGAAUUGGUAAAGACUUUAGAGACUUUAUCUAAAGACUUUGCUUAAAAUCAUAGAGUAGAGAAACUAAUAAUAUCUUUCGAUAAAUGAUCGAUGAAAAUAUUCAGUAAAAAGAGGAAGCUAUCAAAGAGAAGAACAGAUAUAAACAAUUAAUCGAACGGUUUCUGCGGAAUGAUUCAAAAUAAAUGGUACUGUGCGUUUA